UUGAACGCUGGCGGCAUGCUUUACACAUGCAAGUCGAGCGGCAGCGCGGGGGCAACCCUGGCGGCGAGCGGCGAACGGGUGAGUAACAUAUCGGAACGUACCCUGUCGUGGGGGAUAACACAGCGAAAGCUGUGCUAAUACCGCAUACGACCUGAGGGUGAAAGCGGGGGACCUUCGGGCCUCGCGCGAUUGGAGCGGCUGAUGUCGGAUUAGCUGGUUGGUGGGGUAAAGGCCUACCAAGGCGACGAUCCGUAGCUGGUCUGAGAGGAUGAUCAGCCACACUGGGACUGAGACACGGCCCAGACUCCUACGGGAGGCAGCAGUGGGGAAUUUUGGACAAUGGGCGCAAGCCUGAUCCAGCCAUGCCGCGUGAGUGAAGAAGGCCUUCGGGUUGUAAAGCUCUUUCAGACGGAAAGAAAUCGGGCGGGUGAAUAGCCUGCCUGGAUGACGGUACUGUCAGAAGAAGCACCGGCUAACUACGU
rnacentral:rRNA from 1 species